rnacentral:rRNA from 1 species
GGAAUCGCUAGUAAUCGCGGAUCGGCAUGCCGCGGUGAAUACGUUCCCGGGCCUUGUACACACCGCCCGUCACACCAUGAGAGUCGGGAACACCCGAAGUCCGUAGUCUAACCGCAAGGGGGACGCGGCCGAAGGUGGGUUCGAUAAUUGGGGUGAAGUCGUAACAAGGUAAC